AGCUUUCCAUGGACACCAAGAACGCCGAAAUCCAUCAAGCGGAUUGUCCGAUUUUUGCUCGGGAAGAUUUUAGCCCAUUUCGACUUUUGGGCUAGAUUUCUCGAAAACCGUGAAUCCCACGAGAAAACCGAGGCCACCAGCACGCUCCAUUCGUUGAGAGCUUCGCAACGACAUAAAUUUCGAAUUUUUCCGACACCGUUUUUCGGUAUCCUCGAUUCGCGGAAAUUCGACAGUUGAUCGGGUCUGCAAAUUUCGGGUCAGACAGACCCGUUACCGGAAAAGUCUCCGAAUUGGACCGAGGUUUUGGCUAGCCCCCCAUUGUCAGACGUCCCGAGCGCGUUCUCGAAGUCGGAAUCGGCAAAGGUGAGCCGGGACAGCCUUCUUCCUCCGCCCAGCCGCCACAGUGAUUGUCGUCAAGUCUGCCACAGGAGGAUAUUUUGUUCUGGGUUAACCUGCUUUUCUACCUCGCAGGUUGUUUAUCAAUAUUUGUGUAAUUUUAAUUACUCCUAGAAUUUCCGCAUGUGUUAGCAGUAAUUAUUUGAAUUUGGUCUGUAAUAUUAUUAUCAUGUUGGACCUGUAAACUUAAUAUUUUAAGUCUGUUUUGAUGGAUUGGAUGAGGGAGCUGAGCUCCCAUUUAUUAUUAUGUUGAUGAGUAUG